rnacentral:rRNA from 1 species
UGGGGAAUAUUGGACAAUGGGCGCAAGCCUGAUCCAGCCAUGCCGCGUGAGUGAUGAAGGCCCUAGGGUUGUAAAGCUCUUUCGCCAGGGACGAUAAUGACGGUACCUGGAUAAGAAGCCCCGGCUAACUUCGUGCCAGCAGCCGCGGUAAUACGAAGGGGGCUAGCGUUGUUCGGAAUCACUGGGCGUAAAGCGCACGUAGGCGGAUCUUUAAGUCAGGGGUGAAAUCCCGAGGCUCAACCUCGGAACUGCCUUUGAUACUGGAGGUCUCGAGUCCGGGAGAGGUGAGUGGAACUGCGAGUGUAGAGGUGAAAUUCGUAGAUAUUCGCAAGAACACCAGUGGCGAAGGCGGCUCACUGGCCCGGUACUGACGCUGAGGUGCGAAAGCGUGGGGGGCAAACAGGAUUAGAUACCCUGGUAGUCCACGCCGUAAACUAUGGAUGCUAGCCGUUGGGCAGCUUGCUGUUCAGUGGCGCAGCUAACGCUUUAAGCAUCCCGCCUGGGGAGUACGGUCGCAAGAUUAAAACUUAAAUGAAUUGACGGGGUCAUAGCUGUUUCCU